UUUGAUAAACCACUUGAUAAGUCACUCGUUGCCACGUACUCCAUUCAUUGGGAACUUGAACUUCCGUCGUACCACCGCAACAGUUAAACCACGCACGAGUUGAAAAUAUAACACCAACCGCACCGCAAUGCAUCAUCGGAUUGGAAACGUACCUUUUCGGUUUGCUUGAGAUAUCUUACGGGGCAACGCAACGAGUUUGACACCAGAUACAAGUUGUAGAUGGAUGAGAGUUCUCUAGCCAAUGUCAUAGAAACCAGGGUUUAGACCAAGACUAUGUAGACAACAGACCAAGACAACAGUAAGACUGACUACCACAAGAUGCCAUGAUGCAAAGAGAGUGUGCCUAUAGACAACAGUCAACACUGGACAACCAUGCAGGCGAUUUUCUUAGGAAUCAUCUUUUAUCCAAUGCUAGAGUUUA